GUUUGUUGCAGACUUGUCAUAUGUUGGCGUUUUCCUCUCCGAAAAGGUCGGAGAUUUGUUGAUGUUUCUUACAGACAUGUCAUAUGUUGGCGUUUUCCUCUCCGAAAGAGUCUGAGAUUUGGCAUGUCGUCAUAUGUUGGCGUUUUCCUCAUGGAAAGAUAUGUUGAUGGGUUCUCCAUUUCUUGUGCCACUUCAGUAGGAGAAUGAUUUGCCACUGUCUGCUCCUUGUUAAAUUUUAGCUUUUCAAUUUCUUGAGACUUGGAUUUUGAUGUUGCACACAAUUCCUCUUUCGCCUCUUUUGAGCUCUCCUCUUGGUUCUGUUCAUGGAAUAAUGACUUUGCAUAUUAAGGAGCAAACUAAAGGGUUUAUUUUUAAAUUUCAAUCAAAAAGUUUAUCAGCUUUCUUCUUAAAUUCUAUAAACUGUUUUUUCUGACUU